GCUUAUCACCACAUCACCAUGAAUCUACCCGACCUUGUCUGAUUUUGGAAGCUAAGCAGGGUUAGACCUGGUCACGACUUGAAUGGGAGCCAACCAAGGUAUACCAGAGAUCU
rnacentral:rRNA from 1 species